rnacentral:rRNA from 1 species
UGAGGAAUAUUGCACAAUGGGCGCAAGCCUGAUGCAGCAACGCCGCGUGCGGGACGAAGGCCUUCGGGUCGUAAACCGCUUUUCUGGGGGAAGAGCAAGGACGGUACCUCAGGAAUAAGUCUCGGCUAACUACGUGCCAGCAGCCGCGGUAAAACGUAGGAGGCGAGCGUUAUCCGGAUUUACUGGGCGCAAAGCGCACGCAGGCGGCUCUGUUAGUCGGACGUGAAAGCUCUCGGCUUAACCGGGAGAGGCCGUUCGAUACUGCGGAGCUUGAGGUAGGGAGAGGAAUGCGGAAUUCCCGGUGUAGUGGUGGAAUGCGUAGAUAUCGGGAGGAACACCUGUGGCGAAAGCGGCAUUCUGGCCCUCACCUGACGCUGAGGUGCGAAAGCGUGGGUAGCAAACA